CGGACCGAGCAUGGAGCAAUUCAACGGCCUUAAACAAGCUGGUAUAUAUGUGGUAUUCAGUGUCGGGGGCGGGGGACGGGACGACGUAGUGGCGGUUUAAAUCGGUAGCUCGGCGGCGCUGCGGCCCUUUGUGUUCCAGAGUGAGGAAGGUCUGAUGUUUAAUGGAUUGAAGUGUGCUCAUUGUUUUCACAGGAGCAAUAUCACACUCACAGACCACUUUGUUAGGUACAGUGGCAUGCAAAGAUUUGGGCACCCCAAGAGAUUUGAGCUUUCAGAUAACUUUUACCAAGGUCUCAGACCUUUAUUAGCUUGUUAGGGCUAUGGCAAGUUCACAGCCAUCAUUAGGAAAGGCCAGGUGAUGCAAAUUUCAAAGCUUUAUAAAUACCCUGACUCCUUAAACCUUGUCCCAAGAAUCAGCAGCCAUGGGCUCCUCUGAACAGCUGCCUAGCACUCUGAAAAUUAAAAUAAUUGAUGCCCACAAAGCAGGAGAAGGCUAUAAGAAGAUAGCAAAGCGUUUUCGGGUAGCCGUUUCCUCAGUUCGUAAUGUAAUUAAGAAAUGGCAGUUAACAGGAACGGUGGAGGUCAAGUUGAGGUCUGGAAGACCAAGAAAACUUUCCGAGAGAACUGUUCGUAUAAUUGCUAGAAAGGCAACUGAAAACCCCCGUUUGACUGCAAAGGACCUUCAGGAAGAUUUAGCAGACUCUGGAGUGGUGGUGCACUGUUCUACUGUGCAGCGACACCUGCACAAAUAUGGCUCAUGGAAGAGUCAUCAGAAGAAAAUCUUUCCUGCAUCCACGCCACAAAAUUCAGCGUCAGAAGUUUGCAAAGAAACAUCUAAACAAGACUGAUGCAUUUUGGAAAACAAGCUCUGAUUUGACUUGGGGUGCCCAAACAUUCGCAUGCCACUGUACGUCUUUUAAUGCUCAAGAGGUCCAGUUCUGACCAAAUGGCAGCACGGAGAAGAAAUGUGAUCUAAGUGACUUUGAACGUGGAAUGAUUAUUGGUGCCAUGCUGAGCGGUCUGAGCAUCUCAAAAACUGCUGAUCUCCUGGGCUUUUCACGCACACCAGUCUCUAAAGUUUAUAAAGAAUGGUGUGAAAAACAGAAAACCUCCUUUGAGCGGCAGUUCUGUGGGUGAAAAUGCCUUGUUCAUGAGGUCUGGAGAUUGGCCAGACUAGUUCAAGCGGAUGGAAAGGAAACAGUAACUCAAAUAGCUGUUACCACAGUGAUGUGCAGAAGGGCAUUUCUGAACAUGCAACUCAUUGAAUCUUGAAGUGGAUGGGUUACGGCAGCAGAAGACUGCACUGGGUUCCACACCUGAGUGGAUAUUGAAACAAUAUAUUUACCAUUCCUGAAAUGUAUAAUGCUCUUAAAACUAAAUUAGAGACGUACUGAGGUUAGAUGAAAUACGUUAGCUGUUAGAAGUGAAAUAAAACAAUAGUGGAAAUGUUGAAUAGCUUCAUGUUUUAGUCAUUGUACUUUCAAUUGAGCUCUGUCUUUUGACCACAUUGGAAAACAACCUUGAAUUAAUACUUCCAUUGUUGCUUCUUUUGCUGGUUUUCUGACUAAUGUGGGAAGAAAUGAUUACACUUUGUCCUGAUGAUCCCUUUGUCCCUCUGUUCUGGAAAAACUUUUUUAAUAUAUAAAGAACUGUUUAUAGUCUGAGGAAAGGUGUUUGUAGAUAUGUCAGAUGUUUCAGAUUUAAAUUGAGUGUUGCUUGA